rnacentral:rRNA from 1 species
AGCAGCCGCGGUAAUUCCAGCUCCAAUAGCGUAUAUUAAAGUUGCUGCAGUUAAAAAGCUCGUAGUUGAAUUUCGGGAUCAAUAUGUUGGUCGUGCCUCGGUACGUACUAGCUUAUUGGUUUCUUCCUUCUGACGAACCAUAAUGUCAUUUAUUUGGUGUUAUGGGGAAUCAGGACUGUUACUUUGAAAAAUUAGAGUGUUUAAAGCAGGCUUACGCUUGAAUACAUUAGCAUGGAAUAAUGAAAUAGGACGUUUGAUUCUAUUUUGUUGGUUUCUAGGAUCGACGUAAUGAUUAAUAGGGAUAGUUGGGGGCAUUAGUAUUCAAUUGUCAGAGGUGAAAUUCUUGGAUUUAUUGAAGACUAACUACUGCGAAAGCAUUUGCCAAGGAUGUUUUCAUUAAUCAAGAACGAAAGUUAGGGGAUCGAAGACGAUCAGAUACCGUCGUAGUCUUAACCAUAAACUAUGCCGACUAGGGAUCGGAUGAUGUUAAUUUUUAAUGACUCAUUCGGCGCCUUACGGG